AUAGCCGCAAUUCGUGCUAAGGUAGCAUAAUCAUUUGUCUUUUAAAUGAAGACUAGAACAAAAGAUUCAAUAUUCGAGUCUUUUUAUUAUAUUUUAUAUAAUUAAAUUAUUUUAAAUGUAAAAAAACAUUUAUUUCUAAGAAAGACGACAAGACCCUAUUAAACUUAACUUUAGUUUUACUGGGGUAGUAAAUUAAUUAGUAUUUUAAUAAAAAUAAUUUCAAAAAAAUCCAAAACAAUUGAUUAAUUCAGUUACUAUAGGGAUAACAGCGCAAUUAUAUUUAUAAGUUCUUAUAUAAAAAAUAGAUUACGACCUCGAUGUUGAAUUAAUUACCUAAUUAAAGCAAAUUUUAAAAAAGGAAGUCUGUUCGACUUUUAAAUAAUUACAUGAUUUGAGUUCAGACCGGUGUAAGCCAGGUCGGUUUCUAUCUUCUAAAGAUAUUUCUACAGUACGAAAGGACCUAUUAAUUUAAUUUAAUUAUUUAAUUGGCAGAAAAAUGCAUUAGAAUUAGAAUCUAAUAAAGAUUAC
rnacentral:rRNA from 1 species